rnacentral:rRNA from 1 species
UACCAGCACCCCGAGUGGUCGGGACGAUUAUUGGGCCUAAAGCAUCCGUAGCCGGUCCUGCAAGUCUUCCGUUAAAUCCAGCUGCUCAACAGAUGGGCUGCGGGGGAUACUACAGGGCUAGGAGGCGGGAGAGGCAAGCGGUACUUUAUGGGUAGGGGUAAAAUCCGUUGAUCCAUAGAAGACCACCAGUGGCAAAGUCGGCUUGCCAGAGCGCGCUCGACGGUGAGGGAUGAAAGCUGGGGGAGCAAUCCGG